AUUGAACGCUGGCGGCAGGCUUAACACAUGCAAGUCGAGCGAGCGGCGGACGGGUGAGUAAUGUCUGGGAACCUGCCUGAUGGAGGGGGAUAACUACUGGAACCGGUAGCUAAUACCGCAUACCAUCAGAUGUGCCCUGAUGGGAUUAGCUAGUAGGUGGGGUAAUGGCUCACCUAGGCGACGAUCCCUAGCUGGUCUGAGAGGAUGACCGGCCACACUGGGACUGAGACACGGCCCAGACUCCUACGGGAGGCAGCAGUGGGGAAUAUUGGGCAAUGGGCGAAAGCCUGACGCAGCCAUGCCGCGUGAGUGAAGAAGGCCUUCGGGUUGUAAAGCACUGUCAUCGGGGAGGCGUUACUCACAGAGAAAGCACCGGCUAACUCCGUGCCAGCAGCCGCGGUAAUAC
rnacentral:rRNA from 1 species